AGAACGCACAUUAAUUAUCCCUAGGGCCAUGGGAUAAACAAAAACCUUGAAAAAACAAGUUAGCACACCCUAGAAUGGUUCUAGCACGAUUACUAACCUAUGGCUCUGAUACCAAUUGAUGGGAAAAACUC
rfam:Vitis vinifera, whole genome shotgun sequence of line PN40024, unoriented chromosome 5, chr5